rnacentral:lncRNA from 1 species
UUAUUUAUACUAUUACAUAAUCAUUGUUUGAGACUUGUGAUUUUAUUGAGUAAAUCUAUAAACUUGCCUAACUAAACGAAUUUACACGGUUGAUUAAGAUUUACUUAAAAAUUGUUCAUUCAAAUUAUAAUCGUAAAUUUUGUUGAAUGAACAUUUGCAUAAAUCUACAAUUUAAGUGUAUCUAAAGUUCACAACAAGGACGAGUUUAAAUUGAUAUGAUGUGAAAAGUUGAUAUUUUUUCGUUUUUAAGUGUAGGUAAUUAUCAAUUUAGAAAGUAGGGGUUUAAAAAAGAAAAGGAAAAAGGAAAAAUGCGCCUAUAAAGCCCCUAAUUAAUUGGGCCGGCCAUUCCCACGCGCAUUUUUCACUUCAUUUGUCCUACGGGUCAUGGUCCUCACAGUCGGCCUCUCUUCGACGACGAUGGCGUCUCACCCACGGCGGAGACACCGGCGGAGGAAACGCUGUUUACUGGUGCUCAAGCGUCUCAAGACUCGAUGCUAUAUCCUUAGACGAUGUAUAUUCAUGCUCUUGUGCUGGCACGACGACGCCGUUUCGGAUUAAUGAACGGUACUGAUCGAUCAAACUCAUCGGACGCCCAGUGGGUAUGGUAGAUGAUCAGAACUGAAACAGAAAAAGUUUUUUUCUUUUUCUUUUUCUCUUUCUUUCUUUCUUUCUUUCUUUGGAAUGAUUGGUGUUCGACUCUUGAGUUGAGUCGGUCGUAGAUUAAAAUAGAACGGGGGAUAAGUUUGUCAUCUUUAACUUGGCUGUAAAAAUUUGUAUUACCUUCUUCAUGUAGAUAAUACAAGGAGGUUAAUUACUGUUGGAGUUGUGUGUUCUUCGAUUUGACUUUGAGGCUUUUUUUUUUGUUCUCUUUUCUAAUUUUUCUAGACCAUUUUGUGCAUUUGUGUGUUUGUGUUUAAGGUAUGAUAAAAAUGUAUGGUCAAACAUAUUGCACAUAAAAGAGGUUUAGGCUUUAGGGUUUGGGAUGAUAUUUUAUAAAAAUUUAGGACUUUUCAGAUGAGUUUAUUAAAGUCUUUUAAUUUCUUGCCAAUAUGAGCAUAUUCGAUUGGCCUAUAACAUAUCUUAUCCCCAGACUAUAUAUGUUCCACUGGGAAUAUUUUAUGUUGAAAAAGUGGAAAAGAAGACUAAUUUUAGUAUGUUCAAUUACCAUUCUUCAACCAUAAUUUAAUGUUGGUAUAUGAUUUUCAUUACAUAUGGUGGUUAUAUCAUCUUCAUAUAGAAAGAAACAAAUUAUUCUUUCAAGAAUAAAACUAUUUUUAUAGCUCAACUUUUACAAAUUAACAGUGAAAAGCUAAAUUAUGCAGAAUAUAAUGACCGCUAAAUUUUAUACUUUUACUUUUGUAUAAAAAAUGCCUUCAAACUUAAGUUCAAAAAUAUUUUUAUUAUAUGGAUAGAAAUUGUUAGGCGGUUAUUAGAGCUGAGUUAUAAUAAUUUAUGUUUAAAUAUAAAUUAUUUUAGUAUAGAUUAUAAUAAUAUAUCAGUGUUUGAGGGGUAAACUAUUCGAAAAUGUGUAGGGUAAGGGAUGAAAUAAUAAAAGAGUAAGAAGUUGAUAAAUUAUAUAAUUGGUGUUUUCAAUUGUGAGACUCACAAAUACCUUAAGGCAAAUAAGAAGUCAAACUCCUUGGAUCAAACACGCUUUUAUAGUUUGAAAUGAAAUAGUAAACACAUGGUAGCAAAUAAUAAAAAAAAUUAUGAAUGUAAAAUAUUAAAAAUUAAGAUGGAGAUUUUGGAAUAGUGUCCAUGGUAGUUAAUUGAGGAAUACAAAAUAGUAUUAGUUGUAGUAAGCGGUGGUUAUUAUAGUCUUUGGAUAGUCCUUGUCCAAACAUCUCCUCAAUGUUUUGGGUCAACUUCAAAAGUUCCAAAAUUACAUUUAAACUUUAAAAAAAAAUUAAUGUCGGUAUAUGUAUACAACAUAUUUAUAGUCAUUUAAAAAAUAUAUAUCUUUAAACUCAUAAGGGACGUUUGGGGCGAUGAGUGAUUUAUGAUAGUCUUAGUGUUACGGUAAUUUGCGUUUGGGGGAGGAGUAUUAUUGUCUGUGUUAAAUUAUAUGCUUUUGGGAGAAUGAAGGAUUAUGAUUAGAGGAAGAAGUAUGAUAGUCUGCAUUUGGGGUGCAGACUAUCAUAAUUUGUAUAUGAUCGUCUGCGUUUGAGGUGCAGAUUAUUACAACCUUAAUUUUGGACAAUUUUUUUUUCUUUAUUGUAAAUAAAAUACACAAAUUUCAUAAAUUGAUUUUAGGAAAUUGUAUUGGGUGACACAAUACAAAUAUCAUUUAGCAACAUUAGUACUAAAUUUUUCAAUUUUGCAAAUAUAGCAAAUUUCUAAUUUUUGUUGAUAUUUUAUAUUUUAUCUUUUCUUUAUUUCAAAAAUGUCCAUCUCUGAAUGUCCAUUGUUUUCUCUUCUCCUUCUUUUUUUUAUUUUAAUCGUUCCCCAUCACUUUUUCAUUCUCUUUUUAUCGUUCAUGUUAUCGUUACUUUUUCUCUUCCUCUUUGUGGUCUUCUCUGUCACUUCUUCAAUCUCUAUCGUUCUUGGUUUCUCUUUUUCGCUACGUAUCUUCUCAUCGUCUUCUUCUUCCUCUUCCACACCGUUCUUCUUCAGGCAUGUAUUUCUUCCUAUAUUCUUUUUUAAAACCCUAAUAUUCUUUCCUAUAUUUUGGUGUCUGAAAUUGGUAAGGAACUUUGAUCAUCAUCUCUUUUUCUUUCUUCUUCUGUGAAUUGAUCAUCAUCUAUCCAAAAUUAAGGAUGUGGAUUUGUUCUUCCUCAUCUCUUUUAUUUGUCUUUUUAUUUGUUACUCAUCUCUUUUACCAAAAGGAGCUUUGUAUAGCUUUGUUUUAUUAAUUUAUGUUUGGUGCUUUUUUUAUAUAAAUUUGUAUCAGUUUUUUAUAUCAGUGAUAUGAUGUACUUAUAUUAUAUGUAUUGGUUGACUAAUACACUUAUUAUGUAUUUUUCAUUUUUUCAAAAUUGUUGCAGUUCAUUGUAGUUAUGGUUACGCUUACAGUAAUAUUGUUUUUCAUGUGGUCAAUGGAUGAGCGUCAAUGCUAUGUGAAUUACAAAACAAAUUGUGUUUUGGUUGAUGAAAUGAUAUCAUCAUUUGAUUCUUUUUUUGGUGUGAACUUGAUACGUACUGAAAUUCAAGUUGAAUAAUUGUAUAGAAGUUUCAGUUUUGUUGCCUAUAGGUAGUAAUGGUACUUAUCGUGUUCUUAAGAUUGUUGAAGAUAAAGAUGGACUUAGUUCUUGACAUUAAUUAAGGAUCAAUCUACGCAAUGUUCUUUAGUUGCUCAUUUUAUAUAUACAGUUUUGGAUGUUUAAUUGAUUCUUCAACUUCUUCUUCAAUAGUUGAGACUCAUUUAGAAGGUGAAUUAACGAUUUUUAAUGAUGUUGAUAUUACCACUAUUAAGAAUGAAUUGGCUUUUAAGGAGGAGUUGUUUUGUACAUAAUAAAGAAAUUUUGUUGAAGUCAUUCUGCUGUCAAGACUAAUUUUGAGUUUAAGACAUUGAGAUCUAAUUCAAGAUCUAUUGAGUUGGGAUGUAAUGAAGAUGAUUGUUUUUGAUUUGUUAGAACAUCGCGUUAUAUGUAUUAGUUUUGUAUAUUAAUGUUGUAAUAUAUACUUAUAUUAUAUGUAUUGAUUGGUUGAUAUACUUUACUACAUGAUUUUCAUUUUCUCAAAUUUUAAUGCAAUUCAUUUUAGUAUUAUUAAGUACAUGAAUUAUAUAACUCAGUGUAUCAAACAUAUAAUCUGUAUCAAUGUUUACUAGUGAAGUAUAUUAAGUGUAUCAACAGAAAACCUCAAAUGUAUCAAGUGUAUUUUGAUCAAUUGAGUGUAUCAGUAAACAUAGAAAGUGUACCUAUACAUCAAGGGUAUCAAACAUAUGAACUGUAUCAAGUGCAUUAAAUUUUUCGAGUGUAUUAGUGAAGUAUAAAAUGUUUAUCAAUAAUGUAUUUGGUGUAUCAAACUUAUAGAGAGUAUAUUAAAUUCAUUAAGUGUAUGAACAAACCGUAACAAAUGUAUCACAACAAUGCAACAAAUGUAUUAUGCUUAGUGCAUCAAUGUAUUUAAUUGAUUGAGUGUAUUUGCAAAGUUUAACAAAUGUAUCAACAACAUAUCAAGUGUUAUUUGAUUCAUCGAGUGUAUCGGCAAGAAUAACAAGUGUAUCAAAAACACAUAAGUGUAUCAACAACAUAUCAAAUAAUUCGUAAAAAUGUUUAUAAUUCUAGAGAGUAAGUUUGUAAUUUUGCGUUUUUCAAAUGUGGACUGUGCUUGAUUUUUGCCAUUUUUGCAAAUCCAAAAAUGGUGUGUCAUGGGUUUAAUUUAUAAAACUAAUUAUGCUAUAUUUGCAAGAGCCUUGAUUUUAUUAAACAAUCGUAUUUACGGUAUUCAUUCAAUAAAUUUAGCAUCUACCGUGAUGUUUCAUGUUUUUUUUUCAUGCAUAUAUAUAUAUAUAUAUAUAUUGUACAUCGAAAUAAAGAAGCUUCCUAAUUUGAACGUUCAUAUCAAUAAUUUAAGUUACGAUCUUGUGUUUCCACUAAUUUGUGUUUUCCAUGCAUAUAUAUUUUUGUCAUUAGAUGCAAUAUUUUUAUAAAAAUCAUUUUCUUUAAUUUUUUUAAUUACGACGUUCAUUCCAUAAAUUUGUUAUUAAUUUUCUUAAUUACGACUUUUUUUUCACGUACACAUGUAAUAGAAAACAUGUAAACACAAACCGCUAUUAUUAAAAUUGCUUACAUAUGAUUCUUACUCCAUUCAGUUUCAACUGAUCUCAACAUACUGCUUACAUCAUUAAAUUGAGUUAUUGUAAUUCAUCCUAAUUGAAGCAAACAUUGAUACUAUUUGUAACUUUCGUAGUAAAGCAAUGCAAAAAAACAUUUCAAAUAUGCAUUUCCUCAAACAUAACUUCAUUGAUACAACAAAUCAUUCAUACAAUAGUUUUCUAAAAUAGAUGUCGACAUUACAGCAAAUACAUUCAAGUAGAUUAAUCAAGAGACAGACGGGAGAAAUGAAGGAAAUGGAUUCAAAAUGACCGUGUAGUAGUCUAAUUUAAACUCGUUAGGUACCUCUAAGAAUACUUCCAUGUUGUCGACAUUGCACAUCAUUAUUCUCAUAAGGCGCACCCUAUCAUAGGUACAUAAAGGCUAAGCAUGCUUUCUAAUUAUAGAUUAGAGAAAGAAAAACUUAGAUUGACGCCUUUGAAUCUACAAAAACUUCAAAUAGGGGACGUCACCUGUCGAAGACCUUCCUAUAUCCUUUAGGAUGAAAUUGAUCUGUGAGAACCAAUUGGAAUGGAAAACGUUUUAGAGAGAAACUAGUUUGCAUAAAAGCAAAAUUAUUAGUUUUUAUUUUGAUUGAUUAAGAAAAAUUAUUUUUUCUUCUACAUAUCUAUAACUCAUUUUCUUUCAUGGAGUAGGAAAGGGAGCAGGAUAGAAUCAUGACAUUCUAUUAAUUUAAAAAAUAUUAAAUUAAUAAAUAUUUCAAAUCAACUAAUUAAUUAACAACUAAUAAUUAAUCAAUUAUUAAAACAAUAUUUAUAGUUUUAUAUUAAUUUAAUUAAAUAAUAUUAAACUCAACUAUUAAUUAAUAACUAAUUAAAUUAAAUAUCUUAUAUUUAACCUAAGUUAAAUUUGAAUCAUAUUCUAAGUUUAACUCAUAAUCAAUAAUUUUAAUAUGAAUUCAAUUCACAUUAAAUUAAUAUUUGCACUCAUUCUAAUAUAUUAUCUCUCAUAAAUUAAUUUUGAAUCAUAUCCAAACUUAAAUUGAUACAAUAAAGUUUGAUUAACAAAUAAAUAUCCAAAAUUAAAUUGAUACAAUAAAGUUUGAUUAACAAAUAAACUUUAUAUUAUAAUGUAUCAUCAUACAUUAUACUAAUUUCCAAAGUAAAUUUGAACAUUUCAAAUUACAACCAAUAUAAAUAAAUCUCGUUACCUUUUACGAGUUGGGAAGGGGACCUAAUAAACAUACAGAUCAGAAGCUACAACGAUAUAAGAUUAAUUGGCUAAACUCAUUAACUGCAUUAAUCAAUAUUCGUUAACUGUGUGUACACUCCACUAAAGACUUACAGUUGAACUCUUCUCACUGUAGAUAUAUUUCUGUCCACGGAUAUAGACAAAUAACAGUAAGUUAAUCCUUCACGAGUGUUCACAACACCAACUGGGUCAAAUUCGUUUUACCUCUAGGUUACCUGUAGUCCUUAAAUAUCAGUGCUCUUCUAAUGAACAACCUGUUUAUGGUCCAACCAAUAAACAAAAAUCCCUCUCGUGCUAUAGAGAGGGUAUGACAUUUUGUUCAAGUCCCGAAGACACCAUUUAAGAAAACACUCAUCUACUUACCCUAAAGUAGGGAAAGAGUGAAAUCCAUCUUGUGUAAUUAUGUUUCUAGCUCCCCACUCGAUCUUGUCCUAAAAAUGAUAAGCAUAUUGAGUCGGUGAUCUGGCCACUCUCACACGUACAAAUCAAAGGACAAUCCUUCGCAAAUAGGAGUUCAUAAUACACUUAGGAUUAAGACAAAGUUACCUAAGUCAUCCUAGUGAAAUAGAAACCUAACUAGUUAACAAACUUACAUCUAGUGGUUACUAUUUCAUGGUCCGAUCUUAUGCAUACUGUUACUAGGAUAAGGUAUCCAACUUUAUCCCUAUACUAUAGACCCUUUAAGCUGAUCUCGAACAUUGAUACAUGUAUGUCUCUACAUACUGUUCAAGACUCAUAAAAAAACUUAGGAUGUUAGUUUAUUGGAUUUGGGUUAUGAAGACAAAACUAAUAAUAUAAAAUCAAUAACAUUUAUUAUAACAAUGACACUUUAUUAAUAACAGUAAAUGAAUUAUAUAUAUAAUCUAUGAGUUUUAGGACAUAAAUCCUAACACCUACAACUGUCUUACGACUUCUGCGCAGGAGGUGCGAUCAUUUUGAUAUUGUAAAUUCAGCCACUCUACAAUGGCCUUCAAAUGGUCAUUUCCAUAUUCCAUUGCAUUGUGAAUGAUUCCAUAGAUUCAACCGCUAGCCUCCUCGCUUUCUCUUGGAUCCACAUGAUAAGGUUGUCUGACAUAAUUGUAAACCGUCUAGCUUCCUCGCUUUCUAUGAUGUUGUUAGGUGACAUGUCUAGUCCCUAACUAUAGAUAAUAGGGAUCUCCAUAUUGUUCCAUCGUCAGCAGGAAAUCUCUCGUACCCUCCAGGUACAUUCGACUUGAGACAUCGAAAAUUGUCUCCAUAUGUGCUCCUGUAGCACGAUCUUUUCUAAACACGUAGCACCUAUUAUCAUAAUAGGAAAACAUUUUGUUUAGGUGGCUUUUGGCGUCAUGAUGGCUCUAUGGACAUGUUUAAAUAAAUUGUUAGUUUUAUUUUCUAUUAUAAAUGAAUAAUGGGUGACAAAAAUUAAAUUGCCUACCUUCACCCAAGUGUUGAACAAUUCCUUCUCAGCGAUGAUGCACUUGACUUCAUCAUUUUAACCAAACCCACUACAUGAUGGACCACACAUUUUUUAUAUGGCUUGGAAUGUUCUCUUCAGGAUCUUUAUCCUACAAUCAAUAGUUGGGGAACCCUGGAUUUUACAUCUUGGCAGCUUCUUCGUCAUCUAUCUCUGUAGUUGUACCAGAUACCCGAGUCUAAAGUGCCAUUGUCUUACUUCCAGCCACUGACGGAGACCAACUCCACCAAGCACUCGACCAAGGUGGACUCCUCCUAUUUCGUUCACAAGUGUUUAGAGGUUCGUGAAGAACUUUCCAUACUAGAAAAUAAAUGUAAACACGUUAAUUAGGUGAGUUACAAAAACCAUAAACAGAUCGAACAUAAUACAUUGUGCUUUAAGGUUGUUUGUUAGUGCUUCAUUGAUGUCGUUGUUACACACAUAGUACAUUAUAAAAAAUUGAAAUGUACUACUUGUUGGAUCGGCAUGGCAACCCUAGAGGGGGGUGAAUAGGGUUUAAAUAAACUUUUUGACAAAUAAAAAGUAAAAUCAACUAAUUAGAUACUUUUUAAAUUUAAAUAAAGAACUUUGUAAACUUUGUUAAAUAAUAAGAUUGAUAAAAAUAUAUGAAUGGAAGUAUGCAAUCAAACUCAACCAACAAGAAUAUGUAACUAAAAUUAAAUUAAAAAAUAAUUAGAAAAGAGUUAGAGAAGAAGACACCGUAAUUUUAUAGUGGUUCGGUUAAACUCAACCUACAUCCACUUUCCCAAGCACCUCUUGGGAUUUUGAUUGAAAAUCUUCUUUGGACUCUUUCUACGGAUUUGAGCCGAACCGAUUCUUGCUCCUUUUUCGGGUUCAAAAGUAAACCCGAUCCUUUCCACAAGUUAGGAUCCAACCGUUACAAUAUGUUGAAGUUUUUAAAUCACACAAAAGAAAACUCUCUAAAAGAGUGAGUAUACAAUUUGAAGCUCACAAAUUUAAUCCUCACAAUACAAUAAGAAGCUCUCAAGAAUAAGAUGAAAAUAAUAAAAAUUGGAAGCUUUAGAGAGAAUAACAAUGUUUGUAAAAAUUUAAUGAUCUUGUCUUUUAAAAUUUGGGAAAAGUGAAGUAUUUAAAAAUAGAGGAAAGAUAAAUUCAAAAUCAUUUUGGGUCAUUAGAUAUAAGUAAAAGAAAAAUGAAUGGUUGAGAUUUAAACUUAAUUAGCCGUUAGACACAAUACAAAUAAUAAUAUAAUAAUAUGUCUUUUCAAAAUAUUUUGUUUAAAAAGAAACCAAUAAAGCCACUUCACUAUCUUUUAAAAAAACUAGCCGUUAGACACAAGGAAAAAUAAUAAUAUUAAAGUCGUUUUCUUUUUAAAUUCAUUGCCAAUAAAACAUAACAAAAAGCCACAUUUGUUACUCCUUCAUUGCUCCAAGUGGCUUUCUCUAAUUGGUUCAAAUUGAAUGCUUGGUUGCCACGUCACCAUCUCGGGUAUUUUUCCGUUAAGCUUCUUUUAGCAAUAUUUUCUUCAUUUAAACUUCGAUUUGGGUGAUUCAAAAGGCGUUAGAAUCAUUUUUCCAAGCUCUACGAUAUGGUCUAUUCAAAUUAAUAAAAUUGUCAAUAAAAAAAAUCAGAUUUGUUAUCAUCAAAACAUAAACUAAUUGAAUAAUUAAAAUAAAUUAAUUUGAGAUUAAGGGCCAAAAAGCCAACACUACUUCUACACGAGGGGUACUACUGAGCAUGUAACUCCCAUUCGAUGAACAUAUCUUUGAUUAAAUCAUCUCUUCAUUGACUCCAUUUGUUCAACGUCUCAAUGUAGUGAAUGUCGUCACCUACAGUAGUUGCAUAAGUCGAAUCACCCUUAUCGAUAUCCUCUGGUAUAUCUGUACGUGUUCGUUAUCUCUCUAUUGACGAGGUUGUGCAGUAGACAACAAGCCAGUAUCAUGUCACAUUGGGCUUGAACCCGGUAGUGAGACUUUCUUCGAAGGAUUGCUCAGCGACCCUUCAGCAAACUAAAAUCUCUUUUCAAUCACAUUUUGUGCAGAAUAAUGUUUCAUAUUGAAGAACUCUUUCGCUGUUGUAGGUGCAUUUACUACUUGAUGCCACUCCUGCAAAUGAUAUCUUUGUCCUUUGUAAGGAACCAGAAAACCCUCAAGGUUGAAAUAUUGUUGAAGGAAAGUAUGUGGUAGUAGUUACCCUUCCGAACCUUCAGGCCGUUCGAUCUUGAAAUAACAUCUCUAAGGAUGCGUGAGUUGGCUGCGGAUCCUUCCUAGCCGACUAAAAUAAACACAAAAUCUCUUUUUGUAUCACGUACUCAUAGGACAUUUGUGACAAUUUUGUCCUACUCACGUUGUUUUAGUCUCUUGUUGGUUAUUUAUUAAUAUCUCCAACGUCAUUAGUAACUGACGUUGGGAGAUUGUGAACACAAUAAGGAUUCUAGCUAUCCAUUGGGUGAUGCAAACAACAAAUUGUUCAAGUACGUUUUCCAUUAAGUUAUUUUGAAAAUUACAAAUACUUAAAUAUGUCGGUUGGUAUACCUUUUUGCUAAACAGGUGUUAGUAUUCUAUGUCUCACUCUCGUAUCCAAUAAAUCAUUAUAAUUUGAAUUUGAAAAGACACAGUGCCCUAAAUUUGUUAAAUUAAUUAAAAUGCAAUAGAAGUUUAAUUGAAAGUGUAUUAUGAAAUUUUACUGGGAACACAAAUGUUAACGUGCAUUACGUAUUCUAUAAGUCAUUUCGUAUGUAUAUUUUUUCUAAUGAUCGUAUAUGUGAAUCAUUUAUUAACCCAUAAAGAAUUAUAAUUACCAUUUUCAAAUAUAUCGAAAACAUACAAAUGCCAUAUGGUAGAGUGCAUUAGCCUUAUUUUCCAAUACUUCCUUUCUACCAACCAUUUUUCUUUUUUCAAAUUUUGUAAGUUAAGAAUUCAUUGCAAUGUCUACCUUAAAUUUUUAAUACGCCCGAAGCUAUAAAAUGCCUAAGCAUAUCAUGCAUACAAUAAUUCGACCUAUCUUUUUUCUUCUAACCAAGUGUGUAAUUCAUAACUCUUUCCUAAAUUAAAUCUAGGUAGUUUGGAUUAUUUGUACUACAAAAUUAGACCGAAAACUGGAAAUUGCAUAAAAGAAAAAAAAAUGGAACGAAUGUAUUGAAUAAGAAGAAAAAGGCAGUCCAGAUACAAUGUUUUACAAAAUAAUUGUUUGUGAAAAAGUUUCCUACGUAUGGCAAUGUACUCACUAGAAGAAAACUACCCUACAAUGACAGUUAUAUAUCUCAAAAAAUGAAUAGAAGAAAAAAAAACUGUCACGAAAUAUAAAAUUUCGCGUUUUUGGCGGGAAAAGACGAAAUUUUUCGGAAAACACUUUUCGCGACAAUUAUUAACUGUCAUAGAAUGUUAGGGUUAAAAAAUUUUUCUUUUUUCCUUUUCUUUUCUUUUUCCUUUUUCUUUCUUUUCCCUAUUUCCUUCUUCCUCCCCGUGCGUCCUUCCCCUUCUCCCCAGCCGCAACCGCCGCGCCUCUUCUCCUUCCUCCCGUACGCCGCGACGACUCCACCGUCUCCUUCUCCCUUCCCUUCCGUUUCCUUCCCGCCGCAGCCAGCCGUCUUUCUCUUCCGUUUUCUUCCUGCCGCAGCCCAGCCGUAGCCCGCGAUCUGCCGUCUCCAUCUCCGGUUCGCGAAGCAACCUUGCAGCAGUCGUCCCGCGCGCCGAUCUGCCGUCUCCAUCGCCGGUUCUGUCUUCGUCGAAGCCCGAGCCGCCGUGUGAACCAGUAACCGCCACGUUCGCCGCUCACAACCGCCGUGAAGCCAGCCGCGCAACCUUCGUUCCAACCGCUGCACUGCCGCGCGAUUCUCCGGCCACGUCUUCUUUAGCCGACCGCUGACCGACCCACACUUAGGAUUUUGCUGCGAGUUCGACAGUCGUGCGUUGAGUGUUGGGAGUAACCUUGGGCUCCCUUAAAUUCACAACCAAAUUGUGAAUUGUUGAGGGUUCAGUUCGCCAAUAUUUCGGAUUUGAUUCAUUGGAUUUAGUCGAUUGAAGAAUUUGCAUAGAAAUCGAGGUAAGGGAUUUUCUACUGGACUCAAUUGUGAUUGUGAACUGUAUGUGUGUUGAAUGUAUACUGUGGUUUGACUGAAAAUAUAUAUGAAUGCAUGUGAAUUGAAGUAGACAUAACGUCGAAUGUAUAUCGUGAAUGUCAUGGAAGAUAUAUAUAAGUGUGUGUAUGUUGACAGGACAAAGAUUGUAGAUUGUGUUGGUAUGAGAUAUAGAUAUGAACUUGUGAUUCUCGUUUAGAUUGGGUGUACGAUUACGCUAAAGUAUGAUUGGGUUAAUAAGGAUUGGCCUGUUUUUUUGUUUGUUGUUUUUUCUUAGUAAUGGUAGUGUGUGAAAGGGAAUUUGAUAACUCUAUAUAUUGUUUAAUUAUGGUUUUGAAUUCUGUUUUGUGUCUUUAAAAGGACGUUGAACUUCAAAAUCGUUUUAAUAGGGUCCUUGAACUUUGAUUUUUUCUUUAGGGGAAGGGGUGUGUAAGGGAUUUUGAUUUUAGUCAUUGAAUGCCAGUGUGUAGCGCCCACCUCCAGGUGACGGAUUUUCAGCAGCCACCGUCGCCCUCUUCCAAUUUUGUUUUCGACAACCCUCUCUAUUCUAUGUUGCUGUUUCCAAUGGGGUUGUAUUAUCUUCUGGAGUAUACAUGUUGGAUUUGUUGUAGAUGUAGCCAUGGUUGCUUCCUCCUUCGUUGCUUAUUCUUAACUUCAUGUAACUUAUAGCCAUCUAAUUCGUUUCUUCUUCCUAUUUUUUCUCCUCUUCUAAUGGCAUCUUUCAUUCUCUACAUCCAACUUGCGCAACCGUGAUAUAUUCUCCAAGGUAAGUAUCUCUUUAAUGGACGUCAAAAGACUGCAUCUUGAAAAAUGAUUUCAUCCAAGAUAUAUUCAUAUGGGCUUUUUUAUUCCUUUGAAAGAAUGCCAUUCAUAUAUUACACAUCCUUAUACCUGAGUUUACAAGGUUGUUAUAGUACUUUCGCGUUUCAUGAGUGAAAAGAUAGAAUCAAGUUGCGGAAUUACGUUCAUUUUUAGAGCUCUUAAGUGAUUGAAGAUAGUUUAUGUAUAUUUAUUUUCUCAAAAGUCACAUUUUUUUGCAAGUUUGGUUUACUUUGGAUUUAUUAAAGAUAAUACCAGUUCACUUAUUGAUUCCAUUCAUUCCCGAAAAAAUUCUUUAAAAAAAAUUAGUUUAACACCAAGAAUCGCUUUGAGGAUUUAUCUCCUUAAGGGUUGUCGGAACCAUAUACUGAACAUCUACAAUACGUUUGAUCAUAGUUAACUUUACAAUGAUCUAGUUGAUAGUCUUCCUAUUUGUUGAGCUUCUCUUUUAGAUUGAAGGAAAGGGAAAGACUUGGCUAGGUUGUGGCAAGCAAACUUCUUCGCUAUUAUGUGGAGAAAUUUAGAGGGGAGGCUAGGGAGUUAGAGAGUUUUUUUGGAAAAAAAAAAAAAAGAGACGGGACUUUACAUUAAGAGAAUGAAAAAAAAGACCAAUGUUCAAAGAAGUGAAAAAGAGCAACAUAGCACAAAAAAAAGACAUAGGAACAUAAUGCAAAAAGUAAGCUAGAGAGGUGAUAAGGAUAAUUAGUAUAUUUUAGUUAAUUGGUUAAUUGUCUUAUUUUCCUGUAAGGCUAUAGAUAGCCAAUUUAGAGUGUAUUUGAACCUCUUGAAUAUCUUUCCAAUAUAGAACGUUGUUCUUGGAGAGCUUUUUCUCAUCUCUAAGGAAUGAGAUUUCUCUUGUUCCAGAAUGGAUUUGGCAUGGUACUCCAACCUGCUGCAUCAAGAGGUUUAAUUAUUCAGUUUGGGCAUUGAUCACUAGGACUUUUUGUAAUUGUGAUAAUGAUCUUGUUCUUUUUUAUUAGAUUGUUUUAUGUGAUUAGUCAUUGACUCCUUUUUAUGAGUAUUACGUCUUUUUUUUGUUUUUCUUAUUGCAAUUUGGUUUUGGUAUUUCUGUUGUAUGUCUUUUUAUUAUUAUUAUUGCAAUUUGGUUUUGGUAUUUCUGUUAUGAAUAGAGUUUUGUUUGCCCUUGGUUCUUUUAUUUUUUCAAUAAACGUUCGGUUGCUUAAAUAAAAUGGUUCUCUGGACAGAAGUGAAUUGUGAGUUUACUGAAUUUGGUAAAUUUAGAAGCAUUCCUCUGUGCAUCCUCUAGUAGAUUUUGGAUUUUCCUCUUCCACUGUAAUGGAAUUGGACCGAGAAAAGUUAAUGUGUUCCAGUUAUUUUACGGUGCUGGCACUUACAUGUUUGGAAUUGAUGAUGAACGAAUAAUUGAUGCUACAAGGGCUGGAAGCAUUGCUCAUCUGAUCAACCACUCUUUCGAAGUAUGUAUUACUUUAACAAUUGAUUUACUUUUUAUUUUUUCCUUUUAUGUUAAUGUUCUUUAUCCUCAUGAGAUGACUCAUUAAAUUAUGUGUCAAUAGAAUUAUCUUAUAUCAUAGUGCUCUAUGGAGAUGAAUGCAAGUUAGCUAAAUUUUUCCUUAGAUGCUUGAAAGUUAGAAGAGAAAUUUAACUCCGGUUUUUCUCUCAUGGACUAAGCUAUCUUAUUCUUACACAGUAACUGUUGCUCCUCACAGAAGUGUUCAAGGAUAAAUAAAGGUUCAUAUUAGAAGUGGACGUCCAUUAGUUUUGGUAUGUAUGUAAAUUAUUUUAAAUCUAAGUAUCUGAUUUCCUAAUAGUUGAAAACCUUAGUUUAUUGACAAGAAAUCAAAUGGUUACUUCUGAAGUUGGUUGAUUGUAUUUGGUUAUGUCUACUAAUGAGAAUGACUUUACCUUAAGGGGAUAGACUUUAGUUUUGGUAUCUCCAAUUGAGAAUUUAGCCAUUGUGCUUACUCUUUAUGGAGUAUCUAAAGACAAGAAAUCGACACUCCAAUGCUAUGAAAAUUUUCCUAUAAGGUAACAUUUAUAGUCUCAUGUUCAUUUGGUAUGUUAUUUUAUUUGCUUACUUUGUAAUACUAUUCUAGUUUAGAGCUAUUUAGUCAAUUGAUUGUAAAUUCUAACUACAGCUGAUGAUAUAUGGGGAAGAUAUUCAUAGUUCAUCUUUAUUGGCGAUGAUUGCAUAAUACAAACUGUUUAACUCUAAGGAUUACAAAUUGUCGUACAUGUAUUGUCGUAGGCUGUUUUGUUCUAAGGACUAGGAACAACCCAAGAAGUUGUUCAAUUUGCAGUGGCCAUUUGGUUGGACGUUCUUCUUCUCCUUGAUCUCUUUCUCCUCUUCUUAGGAACUUCAUUUUCAUUAUCAGAUUUGAAGAGGGACCACCAUGAGUGGGGUAGUAAAAUGAAUAGAGAAUGGGAGAGUGAGCUGGGUAUGUUUUUGGUAUGUGUAUUCUAGAGAGAAAGAGUGAGCUGGGUAUGUUUUUGGUAUGUGUAUUCUAGAGAGAAAGAGUAGCAGUAUGUUUUUGUUUGUUGUGUUUGCCUAAUAUAGUCCUCAUGGUCUUCUUUUUUCAUUUCAUGGAAUCAAGUGUUGAAGUUCUUGUUUGUGUUCUGUAUUUUGUUGAGACGUUGAUUUAGUUAUUCAUUGACUGUACGUAUGUGUUAUGGAUUCUUUGUAGGUUCAACUGGAGUCGACAAGUUCAUGAGUUUUGUUUCAAAUAUCAUUUCCAGAAACGAACAUUCUCGUUUGGUCCAGUCAAAUAUAUUCGAAUGCUAUUUAAGAUAUUUUUUUGAUUAAGGGUUAGUAUUUCGUACAUGUGGAUUACUGAAACUUGUAUUAAGAUGUACAAGUAUUAUAAAUCGUAUUAUAGUGUAUAUAUAUUAAAGUGUUGGCUAUUUUCUUGUACAUUGGUGUGAAACUUGUAUAAUUUCAAAUUUGUCAUUCUCAGCUACAUUAUUGUCAUUCUAAUGGUUCGUGUAAUGGUGGAGCUGCAUGGAGAACAGAAUAAAACUAUAGGAAAUUGAGAAAUGUGAUAGUUAAUAGUUGUUGUAAAUUGGAGAACGAUGACAGUUAUUUAACAAAAUAAAUUGUCACGAUUGCUCUAUAUGUGACAGGAAUAACAUGUCGUCAUAAGAUAAACAAUGACAAUUUUUUUAAAAAAAAAACUGUCACGAUUGCAUUAUAUUUGACUGGAAAAAAAUGUCGUCAAUGGCAAAACAAUGACAUUUAAUGUUAUCGAAAAACUGUCACGAUUGCACAAUCGUUGACUGGAAAAAAAUGUCGUCAAUAACUAAACAAUGACAUUUUUACAAAAAAAAACUGUCGCGAAAAACAUAUUCAUGACAAUUAAUACAUGUCACGAUAAUAGAAUUCGUGACAAUUAUUUAACUGUCGUUAAUAAAGAAAUGAUGAUAGUUAUUGAAUGUCAUAAAAUAAAUUAUGACAGUUAUUGAAUGUCGUUGAAUGUUGAUUAACGACAUUUAUUUCAUGUCAUAAAACAACCUAUUGCGACAGUUUUCAAAAACUGUCGUCGAAGGCCUUUCCAUGACUCCCGCUUCUAUGACUGAAAAUAACUGUCGCGAAAGAUUUCGCGACAGUAAAUAACUGUCGUCGUAGCCCACUUUUGUACUAGUGACUAACCAUGAAAAGAAGACGAACAAAAAGGAAAAUAAAUUAAAACAAGGAAAUCUUAGUACCUCUUAAAUGAAAUUAAGAACUCGGGCGUUCUGGAAAGAUGAUGAACAAAAUUAAUAUUAGGAAUAUAUAAUAUUGAUAGAAGAUGGAAAAUAAAAGUGUUGAUUACUUACCGUUUCCUAUCCAGAAUGUACCCAUACAAUAGAAAAAAGGAAAAGAUCGUUAACAGUGAGCGGCGAAAAUAGAGCAAACAAGUAAAGAAAGAAAGGGAAAGUAUUUUGGUGCCUUAGAGGAAUGAAAUUCGUAGAAGAAAUUGAACUUGAACUUCAUGUAGUGGAAUAAUCAUCUUCAAAUAUGGAAUGCUAAGAAAUCAAUAACAUUAUAGGCAUGGAAAGAAAGAACAAGUAAUUUAGAAAGAUGCAUUUUAAUGGAAAUUAACUUACACAACUAAGGAAUUGAAAUUCAAGAAUUUGAACUUUAAUUUGCCGUGAUGGGAAAAAUGUCCUCCAAACAUGGAUCGCAAGGAAAUCAAUGACAUUAUAGACAUAGAAAGGAAGAACAUUAGAAUUUCAAACAUUUAUUUCAAUGAAAAAUGACACUCACCAACACAUGAUAAGAAGGAAGAACAUGAACUUUAUUUGAAUGGACGCAUUUUAGUAAUUCAUAAUAAUAGACAUGAAAGCAAAAGAAAACAUAAACGGAAUAUGGAUGCAUUCGUAAACAUACUAAAGAAGUUAGGAAAGUUCUAGGAUAAGCAAUGGGGAAGGAUGAACACACAUCUUAAUGGCAAGAUCUUAAGAAAAAUAUAGGCAAAACCUCUGUUGACGUACAUUAUUUUUGCAUGGCCAUGCAUCGUGGCUAAAAUCUCAUUGUAUUUUUCCCUACUCACGUUGUUGGCUUUGUGUCGACAAAAAUGAUAUUCAAAUAAACUCAUUGGUAGAAAAGGCAUUUUUUCCCAAGAAAAGUACGUUGAAUGUCUAAGUGUGACUGCCAAACUCAAAACCAAUUACAAUAAAUCUUACCUCUCAAAACAAUUAAAAUUAAUUUUGACGAUUUUAAUUUGUAAGUAUUUAAAAUAAAAAUUAAAAAAUUAUGCAUUUUUUAUUAUUGGUUAUUCUUGACACUUUUUUUUCUACAAGAAUAUUAAAACUGUAGACAUCAAGUAUUGCCAGUUUUGUAGUAGUGAUUGUCGAAAUUCUCCAAAAAUUUUCACUAUCUCCACACUAAUUGUCUUCUUUCGUUAAUGUAUUAUUUUUACACCAUCUUAAGAUUAUAAUAACCACUUGAUCUUAUUAUAGUAAAUACUAUUUAAAAGUUGCUCAAUUAGAUACAUUCAACACUUUUUUUAAAUCUUAUUUGGUAUAGUUUUUACUUUUUGCUACCGUUUUUACAAUUUAUUUUUUUAGUUUUUUUAAAUGUUUUGCAACCAUGUUUACUAUUUCCUUCUCAAACUAACAUAGUUACUAGCAAACACAUACUAUUGUAACAAAAACUAAAAUAGUCGAAACCCAAACACAAACUAUUGUAAUCCAACUACGUUAAAAGAACUCAUCCACAAAGGUAGAAUCUCCAAAAGUCUAAUUGGCGUCACCUCUUCUCUCUCCGGUCUCACUGCUUUGUACCUUUGGUCGAGCCCUCUAAUAAUAUCCACCUUAAUCGCCUCCUAAGAGUGUAAGAUUGUAGAAUAAAUUGACCACAUAUACCCAUGGAAUUAGUGAGCGAAGACUACUUAGCUUGCUUCUAAGUACACUAUAUAUAUGCAUGGACAUAAAAUAUUUAUAAUAGUAAGUAUUAUUAUUAUUAUUAGCUUAUUAUGCUCAAUAUUUCAAGGGCAGUCACAAGAAAUGAAUCACACAUCUAAAGUUGUAAUCAAAUUGCAUGCAAUAAAAGUUGCUUUAUUGAGGAGGUAGGGGAUUAUCAUUAUGAUAUCACUAAACAUUACCUUGUGGAUGGAACAUAUGGAGGGGGAGGCAGUGGGAUGACCAUUUGGGGGUCGUCAACAAUGUUUGAUUUUAAAGGCGAAUGUGAUGUGGUGGAGGAGGGAGAAUAACCAUUUGAGGGCCGCCAACAUUAGAAUCAAGAUGAUGGUGUGGUGGAGGGGGUGGAAUGAUCAUUUGAGGGCCACCUAUGUCAGAAUCAAGAUGAUGGUGUGGAGGAGGGGGUGGAAUGACCAUUUGAAGACCGCCAACAUCAGAUUGUGGAUGUUUGUGCGGAGGAGGCGGUGGGAUGACCAUUUGAGGGCCACCAACGUCCAAAUUAAGAUGAUGGUGUGGUGGAGGGGGUGGAAUGACCAAUUGAGGACCACCAACAUCGGAUUGUGGAAGCUUGUGCAGUGGAGGAGGAGGGAUAACCAUUUUAGGGCCGCCAACAUCCGUAUCAAGAUGAUGGUGUGGUGGAGGUGGUGGAAUGACCAUUUGUGGUCCACCAACGUCUGAAUCAAGAUGAUGGUGUGGCGGAGGUGGUGGAAUGACCAUUUGAGGUCCGCCAACAUCUGAUUGUGAUCCAACAUGAAGCAACACUGUAAAUACACAAACAAAGAAUUAUAAUACAUGCAUAUGUGAUAUGUGUAUACGUUUAUAUAAACAAACGGAAAAUAAUAUUCUUGAAUACGUACCACGACAAUGUGUUAUUGUGGCUAUGGACAAAAGCGAUAGAAAGAGAAGAUUAAUUGUUUUUGUUUUCUCCAUAUUGGUCACUAGAAAAUGGAUAAUAGAAGAUUAAUCUUGUGGAAAUGGAUGGAGGAACAAAGGGUUUAUAUAAAAUGGUUUUGUUGGCCAAAACAAGAAUUAUAGUUAAAUCAUAAUUGGUACGCAACUUAAUAAAAUUGAAAUUGAUAAAGUUAUACCCAAACAGUUUUAAUGGUCCAUUUUAAUGCCUAAAACUCAACAAUCUUAACAUUCAUCUAAAAACAUCCAAUAUCGUGCUUAAGAGAAUUUAAUUACUAUUUAGAGAAAUUAAAUGAGAGUAACAAAAAAUAGUUGUCCGUGAAAAAAUAAUUUCAUAUGCUCGUAUUACCAUAAACCUUCCAACAAUAACCUUCUUUAAAAAAAAAAACAAAAUCUUAGUUAAUGAUGGUAGUUAUAACAAUUUAUGUCAAUUGAUAUCAGUGCAUUUUGAGAACUAAGAAGUCCAUGGUCCAAUUCCUCCACCUCUUCAAUUUGUACUAAAAACAAUUUUAAAAGUAAAAAGUAGAUUUUUGGGAACUUUUAAUCAAAAAAGAAAAAAGAAAAGAAAGAAAGGAAAAAGCAAAAAAAGAAAAGAUUGUAUGAAUUAAUUAUUGAUGGUUGUCUUAGAACCAUCAAAACAAGCAUAACUCAACAAAGAAGUAAGUUUUAUCACUCGUAGGUCGAUGGCUUGAAUCUCUUCUCUUCUAUUGAUCUUGAAAAAAUGAAAUUUAUUAACCAAUUUACUAUUGCGAUAUAUUUUAUCUAACUUAAUUAGGUUGUUAUAU